rnacentral:rRNA from 1 species
GACGAACGCUGGCGGCGUGCUUAACACAUGCAAGUCGAACGGACAGGCCCUGCUUUUGUGGGGUGCUCGAGUGGCGAACGGGUGAGUAACACGUGAGUAGCCUGCCCUUGACUUUGGGAGAACUUCAGGAGACUGGGGCUAAUACCGGAGAGGAGCUCCUGCUGCAUGGUGGGGGUUGGAAAGUUUCGGCGGUUGGGGCUGGACUCGCGGCUUAUGAGCUUGUUGGUGGGGUAGUGGCUUACAAAGGCUUUGACGGGUAGCCGGCCUGAGAGGGUGACCGGCCACCUGGGGACUGCGAUACGGACCAGACUCCUACGGUAGGCAGCGGUGGGGAAUAUUGCACAAUGGGCCGAAGCCUGAUGCAGCAUCGCCGCGUGCGUGAUGACGGCCUUCGGGUUGUAAACCGCUUUCGCCUUUGACGAAGCGUGAUUGACGGUAAUGGGUAAAGAAGCACCGGCUAACUACGUG